rnacentral:antisense_RNA from 23 species
CUAUACCCAAACAACUUGGAGUUGCAGGUAGGCGGCAAGUGAGUUCAUCCCCAUGAGCAUAGACGGGCUAUGUGAUUGGGGUGAACGAACGCAGCCCCCCUGCAGCUUCAAGUAGGAAGGG